CGCUUUCUAUAUAGGCCAGACAGGUAGAAAGAUCAUUACCAGGGUCCUAGAACAUAAAGGAUACAUGGUGAAAGAAAUUCGAGAAAAAACGAACCCACCCUUUAAAACAAAAUCUGAAUUUUCGGACCAUCUAUUAAAUAACCAACAUUUUUGCAAUUUUAACAACUUUGAAGUUUUACACAUAUGCAACAAAAGCCGCAAACUCAACAAUCUAGAAAUAUUGGAAAUUUACAAACAUCUUUCUCUUCACAACUCCACUUGCGUGAAUGAACAAACCAAUUUUAACAAACCCUUAUUAAAUAAUUUCUUCAAUAUAUCAUAACUCGACAAUCUACUUUUCAACAUGUUCCAAAUCUCGUUAUAAUUAUUCUAGUUUUGCAAAAUUGUUUUUCUAAAUUUUGAUAUUUUACAGAUCCCUCUUUUAACCUUCUACUUUCUCCGUUAGAGGGCGGAGUUUCAUUGUACAAUUUUUUAAGUCAUUCAUUUUGUAGUUCCUUUUACAUUUCACUUUUCAACUCGACAAGAUGUAACCUUCCUUCUUUUUGAAAAAUUUUAAUAAUUUGUAACUUUUUUAUUGUUUUGUUCUUAAAAAACACGUAAAUGUAAAUUCUUACGUAGUUUUAUCCUGUGUUUUUUAAAAUGUUUUGACUGCUGAUGAUGGUAUAAAUAAAUACCGAAACUAGUCCAAUUCCUUCUUUUUAUUUCCACUUUGGUUAGUCUUCGACUUUAAGUUAUCCAUUUAUUCAAUUUGAAAAA